UUAAAAAGAUGCAACUUUGCUGGCUUUGAAAAUGGAGAAUAGGCCAUAAACAAAGGAAUGGAGCAGCUGCAAGGAGCUAAAAGACAAAGAAAUAGAUUUCCCCCUAGAACCUCCAGAAAGGAAUGCAGCCCAGCUGAUGCCCUGAUUUUAGUCCAGUGCAACCUGUGUUGGACUUCUAACUUCAAGAACUGUAAGGAUGGUAGGACCUACAGAUUCUUGAUUAGAUUAUAGAUGCAAAAAAAGAACCUGGAAUUAUUCCCCAAGAAGCUCCUUCUUCUGAAACCAAGAGGGGACUACAUGAUUCUAUCUGAUGACAACCAGUCAGUGAUCUCAGGUAUAAAAUGCAAUGUCCUAUUGUAACAAUGGCUGGCAUUACACCCAACAUCUAGAAGAAAAAAAACAAUGAUGUCAGAAGGCAGUCAUCUGGAGUGAAUAAAAGGCAAGAGGCUUAUUGCAAAUUCUAAUGCACUUCAUCAUAGAAUUUUAAUUAACUAUUCCAUUCACACCAAUUGGGGACUAUUAAAGCAGUCGUUUCUGAGAAGCAAUCU